rnacentral:rRNA from 1 species
CAUGUCUNAGUAUAAGCAAUUAUACCGUGAAACUGCGAAUGGCUCAUUAAAUCAGUUAUCGUUUAUUUGAUAGUACCUUACUACUUGGAUAACCGUGGUAAUUCUAGAGCUAAUACAUGCUGAAAACCCCAACUUCGGGAGGGGUGUAUUUAUUAGAUAAAAAACCAACGCCCUUCGGGGCUUCUUGGUGAUUCAUGAUAACUUCACGGAUCGCAUGGCCUUGCGCCGGCGACGGUUCAUUCAAAUUUCUGCCCUAUCAACUUUCGAUGGUAAGGUAUUGGCUUACCAUGGUUUCAACGGGUAACGGGGAAUUAGGGUUCGAUUCCGGAGAGGGAGCCUGAGAAACGGCUACCACAUCCAAGGAAGGCAGCAGGCGCGCAAAUUACCCAAUCCCGACACGGGGAGGUAGUGACAAUAAAUACUGAUACAGGGCUCUUUUGGGUCUUGUAAUUGGAAUGAGUACAAUUUAAACCUCUUAACGAGGAACAAUUGGAGGGCAAGUCUGGUGCCAGCAGCCGCGGUAAUUCCAGCUCCAAUAGCGUAUAUUAAAGUUGUUGCAGUUAAAAAGCUCGUAGUUGAAACUUGGGCCUGGCUGGCAGGUCCGCCUCACCGCGUGUACUUGUCCGGCCGGGCCUUUCCUUCUGGAGAACCUCAUGCCCUUCACUGGGUGUGUUGGGGAACCAGGACUUUUACUUUGAAAAAAUUAGAGUGUUCAAAGCAGGCCUUUGCUCGAAUACGUUAGCAUGGAAUAAUAGAAUAGGACGUGCGGUCCUAUUUUGUUGGUUUCUAGGACCGCCGUAAUGAUUAAUAGGGACAGUCGGGGGCAUCAGUAUUCAAUUGUCAGAGGUGAAAUUCUUGGAUUUAUUGAAGACUAACUACUGCGAAAGCAUUUGCCAAGGAUGUUUUCAUUAAUCAGUGAACGAAAGUUAGGGGAUCGAAGACGAUCAGAUACCGUCGUAGUCUUAACCGUAAACUAUGCCGACUAGGGAUCGGGCGAUGUUCUUUUUCUGACUCGCUCGGCACCUUACGAGAAAUNNNNNUUUUUNGGUNNUNGGGGGAGNNUNNNC